rnacentral:tRNA from 1 species
UAACUAGUACAAGUGACUUCCAAUCAUUUAGUUCUGGAACUAACCCAGAAGAGA